UGGGGAAUAUUGCACAAUGGGGGUAACCCUGAUGCAGCGACGCCGCGUGAACGAAGAAGGUAUUCGUAUCGUCAAGUUCUGUCCUAUGGGAAGAUAAUGACAGUACCAUAGAAGAAAGCUCCGGCUAAAUACGUGCCAGCAGCCGCGGUAAUACGUAUGGAGCGAGCGUUGUCCGGAAUUAUUGGGCGUAAAGGGUACGCAGGCGGUUUAAUAAGUCGAAUGUUAAAGAUCGGGGCUCAACCCCGUAAAGCAUUGGAAACUGAUAAACUUGAGUAGUGGAGAGGAAAGUGGAAUUCCUAGUGUAGUGGUGAAAUACGUAGAUAUUAGGAGGAAUACCAGUAGCGAAGGCGACUUUCUGGACACAAACUGACGCUGAGGUACGAAAGCGUGGGGAGCAAACAGG
rnacentral:rRNA from 1 species